GAGGGUGCUGUACGUGUCCCUCCACUGCCACGACCACGGCCUCUUCUUCCCAUCCUCUGAGGACCCAAACUACGACGAGUGGGGACGGGACCUGGCCAAGGCUACAACAUUAACAUUACCCGCAACAAGAGUGGCAUGGGUGACGCAGAGGCUCUCACUCAGGUGGUGCUGCCCGUGGCCUUCCAGUUCAACCCACAGCUGGUCCUGGUCACUGCCAGCCUUGAUGUUGGUGCGGGGACCCACUUGGAGGUUACCGCGCGAGUCCUGGUUGCUGUGGACAUAUGAUGGCCCUUCUGUCUGGCCUGGCCAAGGACCGCAUAGUUCUGGCACUGGAGGGCGGCUUCAACCUCACCACCAUCAGCUACUGUAUGACGCUGUGUGCCAAGGCCUUGCUGGGGGAUCUGCUGCCCCCCCUUGAGCCCCAGCUGGUGCCCAACAAGUGCCGUGCAGACCACCAAUGGCGUCAUCCGUACCCACAGCCGCUACUGGCUGGCGCUCUGCUUCAAGAAAGAAGAAGCAGAAGAAGAAGAAAAGAAGAGAAGGAAGAGGAGGAGAGGGUAUAUGUGUGUGUGUGUGUGUGUGUUAUAUGGACAGAAUUUAAACUGAUUUCUUUCAACAUAUAUUUUAUUAUUAUUAUUGAAAG